rnacentral:tRNA from 1 species
GGGCAGGUGGCGGAGUAGACAAACGCACGAGACUGUAAAUCUCGCGGCCUUAGGCCUUCGUAGGUGCAAAUCCUACCCUGCCCA